ensembl:lncRNA LINC01256 long intergenic non-protein coding RNA 1256
AGGAAAUAAGGUCUCUUGCCAACAGCCAGUGAAAAACUGAGGCCUCCUGUUCUCCCAAAAGCCAUGAGAGUGAACCAACUUGGAAGUUGCUCGUCCAGCCCUAGUGAAGUCUUCAAAUAACUGCAACCCCAGCUGAAAGCUUGACUGUUGUUGAGAGACCCUAAGCCAGAACCACAGAGCUGAGCCACUUCUGGAUCACUAGACUUCUGAAACAUACAGUUCUCCAAGCAUGAGGUUUCUGGAUCUGCAAGUAGGAACAAUUUUUGAUGCAAAGAAUAAAAGGACCAAUGAACCUGAAGAAAAUGCUGGAAUAUAUUUAUUCCAUUCGAGAACAACCAGAAGAGAUAAGAACUGUUAGGUGAAAUAAAUCUCUCUAGAUUUAUAAGAGACUUUGCUUCUCCAUGACCACGUAUUUCAACACUCAAUAUGUCCUAGCUCCCUCUCUGCUACUGUGUCCACAACCAAGCUUAAAUCAUAAACUAAAUAAGCUGAGGAUGUUCUGAAUCUGAUAUGAGAAGAAAAUACUAUUGGUCCUGUGGUCAUCAGAAAUUAUAACAGAAUUGGAGAAGAUUGCUGCCAUUUGGUGCCCAGAUUGCUUCAAAAAAUUGUAGGAGACUGCCAUCCAGAUUAUUCCUCAGAAGCUAUAAAACCUUUUGUAAUAUUGGAAGUUGACAAGCCAAGCGCAUUAAAUGAAAACUGUCAAAAA